AUACAUAUCACCUAUUGAUCUUGUUAAAAUGCAGAUUCUGUGUAAGUGAGUCUGGGGAGAAGGCCAAGAGUCUGCAUUUCUAACAAGUUCCCAGAUGACACUGUA
rnacentral:pre_miRNA from 1 species